GGCGCGGGGGAGAGGAGGGAGAACGUGGGAGCGGCUUCGGCUCGGGCGGUUGUGCAGCAGAGAAAGGGGAGAGGGAGGGGGCGGUUGGAGGAAGAAGAAGUUGCUGACGGGUGGGUCCCACAUGGCAGAGAGAGAAAGGGAAAGGAGGAGGCGGGCUAGCAGUUGCUGCGCGAGUUGGGCCGUGCUGGAAUGAGAGAGAGGGAGAGGGAAUAGGAUUUUUCUUUUUAUUUUUCAAUAAAUUUUCAAAGCUCAUUUUUUAAAUUUGAAUUUGAAUAAAUUCUCUUUGCAAAACUUCACACAUCACAAAAAUGAAUGUUGCAGCAUAUAUGCAUCAAUAUAUUUCUAAUCUUACAGUAAAUUUUAAUUUCCCAAAGAUUAUUAUCUUUCCUAUAUUUUGAUGCUCACAAAAUUGUCUCAAUAAAUCAAAUUCAACUAUUUAAAACAAGGGAAUUUUUAGGGUGUUACAACUGUGUAAUUAGUUUUUAUUUUUGACUAUAUUUAAUGCUUUAUGCAUGUGCUGUAAAAUUUGAUG
rnacentral:lncRNA from 1 species